UUUUGGUUUUUUUUUUGUUUUUUUGUUUUGUUUUUUGUUUUUUCAAGGGUUUCUCUGUAUAGCCUUGGCUGUACUGAAACUCACUCUGUAGACCAGGCUAUCCUUGAACUCAGAAAUCCUCCUGCCUCUGCCUCUGCCUCCCAAGUGCUGGGAUCAAAGGCAUGCGCCACCAUGCCCGGCUUGCCCCUGAUUUCUAAAGUGAGCUCUGCUCUGAUCACUUAAUGUCCUGUUAGAAUGUGGGUGCUGAAACCCAUUUUCCCACUAGCUUGUAGCUGUGGGUUUUGUCAACGAUGCCAUGUUUUUAUGUCCAUUGGGUCUAAAGGCUAUUUCUUGUCUCUUGAAUAAAAGAGGUAGUAGUAAGCCAUAAAAUGAUGUAAAACCCUAAAUGGCUUCUGCAGUGAUUCAGGGUUGUUAAGACUCCUCAGCUUCAUUAACUCAUCAGGCCAGCAGUUUCUCUGUCUUUUUCUAGCUCUCCAUGCAUAGAAAGAUCGCAGAGGUCACCACUGCAGCCUUCCACUUUCCCAUGUUAGGGUUUGUUGAUUUAAAUCAACAAUGAAGACCAAGCGGGUCUUGAACUCACAGAGGUCAUCCUGCCUCUGCCUCCUGAGUGCUGGGAUUAAAUUAUGCUCCACUAUGCCUUGCUAAGUUAGAGUUUUCUACAUAACCAUAACUGGAUGUCCCAGCCAAACAAAUGUACUCAUUUCUCUUAAGCUCACUGGACUUGGAUUUGAUGAAAUUGUGUGGCUGCGAUGCCGAUUUGGUGCCACUUGGAAUUUAAUAGAUAAACCGUGCAUAAGGCCUCGAGGUGUAAGAAGGCUAACAUGUUUCCCCACAUAAUAAAUGGCUGUAUCUUUAUGGAAAUGGAAGUAGAGAACUUUAUUCUGCUAAGAACGGGCUAAUGUGUUCCUCUGUGUAGCUGAGGGAAUGCAGUCUGGGAAAUCUGCAGGAAGCUUGAAGGAUUGUCUAGCAGUGGUAGUUCCACACAUGCUGACGUGCUGUGACAUUAACCACCUUUUGUUUGCUUUAAAACUAACUGCAUAGACCAGGAAUCACAGACUGGGUUAAUUUCAGUUAGAGAAUUCAGCCUCUGAUGAGAGCCUCCUGUCAUGAAAUGCUCAAAGUCAUUGCUGUGACUUUGGUAUUACCGUGAUUGCCAGCACAUUCAUCCUGCACCUGGUAUUAGUUAGGGCUAAGCAGCUGGGGCUUGCUGCAGAUGCAAGCAUUGCUGAACACUACACUUUGAUGUACUGUGAGAAACAACCUUUAAACUGAUAAAGCUUUAUAGCAUUCUCACUGGAUAGAACUGAUUGCUAUAACAUUCUGUUUAUUUACUUGUUUUGAGACGGGUCUCACUCUAGUCCUCUGCCUCCUGAGUGCUGGGAUUAAAGACAUGCUCAGCUAGGUGUGGUGACACACAGUUUUUAUUCCAGAAUUGCAGAGGCAGAAGCAAGAGGAUCUUUCGGUAGCCAGGGUUACCUAGUGAGACAGACCCUGUCUGAGAGAGAGAGCCAGGCCUCUCGGCACACCCUUUAAUCCCCAGCACUUGGGAAGAAGCAGGCAGAUCUGAGUUUGAGGCCAGCCUUGUCUACAUAAUGAAUUCCAGGACAACUAGGACUACAUAGAUGCUGUUACC
rnacentral:lncRNA from 1 species